CCUACGGGCGGCAGCAGUGAGGAAUAUUGGUCAAUGGGCGGGAGCCUGAACCAGCCAAGCCGCGUGAGGGAAGAAGGUACAGCGUAUCGUAAACCUCUUUUGUCAGGGAACAAAGGCGGGGACUAGUCCCCGGCUGAGGGUACCUGAAGAAAAAGCAUCGGCUAACUCCGUUCCAGCAGCCGCGGUAAUACGGAGGAUGCGAGCGUUAUCCGGAUUUAUUGGGUGUAAGGGGUGCGCAGGCGGCCGGUUAAGUAAGCGGUAAAAGCCCGGGGCUCAACCCCGGCGAGCCGUGGAAACUGGCGGGCUGGAGUUGGAGAGAAGUACGCGGAAUGCGCGGUGUAGCGGUGAAAUGCUUAGAUAUCGCGCAGAACCCCGAUUGCGAAGGCAGCGUACCGGCUCCACACUGACGCUGAGGCACGAAAGCGUGGGUAUCGAACAGGAUUAGAUACCCCAGUAGUC
rnacentral:rRNA from 1 species